rnacentral:tRNA from 1 species
GGAUCGGUAGUUCAGUUGGUUAGAAUGCCGCCCUAUCACGGCGGAGGUCGCGGGUUCGAGUCCCGUCCGGUCCGCAA